GUAGGAAAAGGCUAUUGUUUUCCCCAAAUCACGCCGACAACAAAAUCCCCUUUCUUACUGUACUAUUCUCUUUGUGAUUUGGGUAGGGUGGGCAAGGGAGAUCCCAGGAGGACGCGUCGUGCUACUCGACAUCUUCAUGGUUGGCGCGGCCGGGGCGACGGUGCUGGAGGUUGGUGGUGCGGAGGAGGCGGUGACUGACCUGACGAAGGGUGCACAUGUUCGCGGAUUUCCCAGCGAUUUGGUGUGUGCCGAUCUUCCAAGCCAUUCUGACCAUGGAGGCGACCGGGUGUUCGAGCAACUGUUCUUGCUCUGGCCACCAGUGAGAUCGCAUAUCGUCAUCGCGGAUAAGGAAAGGCGGAUGCGAGUCGCCUGGGAGAUCACAGGUGCUGGCAGAGAGCUUUGGCGUUGUGUAGAAUGGCCUCUCGUUCCUUGACGCUUAGGUUGAUGAAGAGCGACAGAUAUCCCAUCCAAUGAGUGGUGAGAGAUCUCAUGCAGGAUGGAGUACCGGUUCAUGGAUUUCCUGGACAAAAUUGUUCUACUGGGUCAAGCUGUUGGUGCCAGGGCAUCAAUGCCAAGGUGGCAUAGGACAGAGAAUAAUUGUUUACCAAGGCAAGCUAAUGGAGAAUAACUGGAUCCUGCGGCACAGUACAGAUGGUGGACUACUGCUAUGGUCUAUUAGAGGUGUGCGGGUAACGGAGGCAGAUUCAUAUGAGGAGAUAGCGAAAUAAAUAAAUAGCACCAAGAUGUGAGCAACAUGUUUGGCCAACCACUGUGUUGUUGCCCUCCUCAUCGUCGGUGUUGUUGGACUUCUACCACAUUAGCAAUGGAUAUUAUUUUACCGUGCCCAAGAUCCGACUCUUCAUCUUCAUGCCUUCCUAAUUGUUUGUACUGCUGGACUUUUACCACCAUGUCAAGUACACUUACUGUAUAUAUCUUGCUGGGCGUCCUGGUUUUUUCGGCGUGUGUUUGGAUUGGGGCUUUGCUCUGUUGGGCAUCGCGGCAUCGGGAGUGCAGAUUGGAUGCUUCAGUACCUGCAAUCCAUCAUGGAUGAUAUUGUACGCUUCAGUACCUUCAAUCUGCCGACAUGGUGGACGCAUACUGAAUGCUUGCUGCUAUCGUGCUGGCUGGCAAUAGCGGCGUGUGUGUGUUUAUGCUGCUUGGGGGCUGGUCGUCGCAUAUGAUACGUGUAUGUGUUUAUGCUGCUUGGGGGCUGGUCGUCGCAUAUGAUACGUGUAUGUGUUCUUGUCCAAUUGAAGUUGUAUGUUUGCUAGAAAUCAAUCACGGCAUGCAAAUCAAUUAGGCACUGCAUGAAUACGUGUCCGUGUGUUUCUCUUGUAUAUGAAGCAUGCAGACAUGACCAAAGUCGGCUGACUGGGUAUGUUAAUGUGUUUUAUCUUCA